rnacentral:rRNA from 1 species
UACGUAUGGGGCAAGCGUUAUCCGGAUUUACUGGGUGUAAAGGGAGCGUAGGCGGGGAUGCAAGUUGGGUGUUAAAUCUACCGGCUCAACUGGUAGUCGCACUCAAAACUGCAGCUCUUGAGUGAAGUAGAGGCAGGCGGAAUUCCUAGUGUAGCGGUGAAAUGCGUAGAUAUUAGGAGGAACACCAGUGGCGAAGGCGAUUUGCUGGGCCAUUACUGACGCUCAUGCACGAAAGCGUGGGGAGCAAAUAGG